GGAUGUGAGGGCGAUCUGGAUGCAACACCUGUCAUUGAUUGCCAGGGUUUGAUUCGGCUGAUCUGGCCUGCCAAGUGAGUGUCCCCUUCCUCCCUCACUGCUCCAUGUGCAACCCUUUCGAAGCUGUGUGCUCCCUCGAAGAGGACCACCUUCCCCAAUAGAGGAGGACCGGUCUUUGGUCAAGGGUACCUGAGUAGCUGAGACACGGGGAAAACACUUCAAGAUGUAGCCGUAGGGAAGGACUUUCUGAACAGGACUCUAGUAGCUCAGGAAAAGAUUCUAAGAACUGACACAUGAGAUUAAAGGAAAGUUUUAAAAGCUUCUGC
rnacentral:snRNA from 1 species